UGCUUCUUAAGAUCCACUUGACUUCACAUUCCAGGAUGUCUGGCUCUAGCGCUGUUGACUCUGAGAGGGGCUGACCAUGCUCUAGGCCAAGGAGGAGAGAGAGGGUGCCAUACGCUGUUCUAUGAAAAUAAAGCUACUUUUGCUUCUUUUAAAAAGUCUCUAUGCCAUCAAAUCCAUUGCCUGUGCCACAGUGCACACAUUCACCGCUUCUCUGAGGACUGCUGGAUGUGCCUUCUUAAUGCUUCCCCUGCUUCUGGUCUCACCAUCAGCCUCACUCAUCCAGAACAGCUGCCAAGGAAGCCCUUUAACAUAAUCCUGCGUUAUUUGAGAAAAAUUCCUCUUUCUGCUUGG
ensembl:lncRNA